rnacentral:lncRNA from 1 species
GAGGCAGCAGGAAGGCGCACAGAGUCUGUCUGAGCAACACCGGGAUGGAGGAGCCCGCUGGGAACCUUCCCAUCCGGAGAGACGUCAUCCUUCCCGAGUCGUGCUGUGGUCACGUCACCAUAACAAACCUGGUGGAAGUGCUGAGAUCUUUGGUGGCUUUAACUGACCCUCAGGAGGGGAAGCUGACUCAGUCUCAAGAGAAAGCACUAAGCUCGCUGGGCAUUUGGGAAAGUGUAUUUAGAGUUGUUCCUGGGCCUACAUCCAAGACCUC